CACGUAGGGAGCGAGCGUUGUCCGGAUUUAUUGGGCGUAAAGAGCUCGUAGGCGGCUCAGUAAGUCGGGUGUGAAAACUCCAGGCUCAACCUGGAGACGCCACCUGAUACUGCUGUGGCUAGAGUCCGGUAGGGGAGCAUGGAAUUCCUGGUGUAGCGGUGAAAUGCGCAGAUAUCAGGAGGAACACCAGUGGCGAAGGCGGUGCUCUGGGCCGGAACUGACGCUGAGACGCGAAAGCAUGGGGAGCAAACAGG
rnacentral:rRNA from 1 species